rnacentral:rRNA from 1 species
GAUGAACGCUGGCGGCGUGCCUAAUACAUGCAAGUCGAGCGAACGGACGAGAAGCUUGCUUCUCUGAUGUUAGCGGCGGACGGGUGAGUAGCACGUGGAUAACCUACCUAUAAGACUGGGAUAACUUCGGGAAACCGGAGCUAAUACCGGAUAAUAUUUUGAACCGCAUGGUUCAAAAGUGAAAGACGGUCUUGCUGUCACUUAUAGAUGGAUCCGCGCUGCAUUAGAUAGUUGGUAAGGUAACGGCUUACCAAGGCAACGAUGCAUAGCCGACCUGAGAGGGUGAUCGGCCACACUGGAACUGAGACACGGUCCAGACUCCUACGGGAGGCAGCAGUAGGGAAUCUUCCGCAAUGGGCGAAAGCCUGACGGAGCAACGCCGCGUGAGUGAUGAAGGUCUUCGGAUCGUAAAACUCUGUUAUUAGGGAAGAACAUAUGUGUAAGUAACUGUGCACAUCUUGACGGUACCUAAUCAGAAAGCCACGGCUAACUACGUG